CCGGAGAAUGUUAUCACGGGAGACACACGGCGGGUGCUAACGUCCGUCGUGAAGAGGGAAACAACCCAGACCGCCAGCUAAGGUCCCAAAGUCAUGGUUAAGUGGGAAACGAUGUGGGAAGGCCCAGACAGCCAGGAUGUUGGCUUAGAAGCAGCCAUCAUUUAAAGAAAGCGUAAUAGCUCACUGGUCGAGUCGGCCUGCGCGGAAGAUGUAACGGGGCUAAACCAUGCACCGAAGCUGCGGCAGCGACACUCAGGUGUUGUUGGGUAGGGGAGCGUUCUGUAAGYCUGYGAAGGUGGCCUGUGAGGGUUGCUGGAGGUAUCAGAAGUGCGAAUGCUGACAUAAGUAACGAUAAAGCGGGUGAAAAGCCCGCUCGCCGGAAGACCAAGGGUUCCUGUCCAACGUUAAUCGGGGCAGGGUGAGUCGACCCCUAAGGCGAGGCCGAAAGGCGUAGUCGAUGGGAAACGGGUUAAUAUUCCCGUACUUGGUGUUACUGCGAAGGGGGGACGGAGAAGGCUAUGUUGGCCGGGCGACGGUUGUCCCGGUUUAAGCGUGUAGGUGUGUGUUCCAGGUAAAUCCGGUUCACUUUAACACUGAGGCGUGAUGACGAGGCACUACGGUGCUGAAGCAACAAAUGCCCUGCUUCCAGGAAAAGCCUCUAAGCAUCAGGUAACAUCAAAUCGUACCCCAAACCGACACAGGUGGUCAGGUAGAGAAUACCAAGGCGCUUGAGAGAACUCGGGUGAAGGAACUAGGCAAAAUGGUGCCGUAACUUCGGGAGAAGGCACGCUGACAUGUAGGUGAAGUGAUUUACUCAUGGAGCUGAAGUCAGUCGAAGAUACCAGCUGGCUGCAACUGUUUAUUAAAAACACAGCACUGUGCAAACACGAAAGUGGACGUAUACGGUGUGACGCCUGCCCGGUGCCGGAAGGUUAAUUGAUGGGGUCAGCGCAAGCGAAGCUCCUGAUCGAAGCCCCGGUAAACGGCGGCCGUAACUAUAACGGUCCUAAGGUAGCGAAAUUCCU
rnacentral:rRNA from 1 species